rnacentral:rRNA from 1 species
UACGUAGGGUGCGAGCGUUGUCCGGAAUUACUGGGCGUAAAGAGCUCGUAGGUGGUUUGUCGCGUUGUUCGUGAAAACUAAAGGCUUAACCUUUGGCGUGCGGGCGAUACGGGCAGACUGGAGUACUGCAGGGGAGACUGGAAUUCCUGGUGUAGCGGUGGAAUGCGCAGAUAUCAGGAGGAACACCGGUGGCGAAGGCGGGUCUCUGGGCAGUAACUGACGCUGAGGAGCGAAAGCGUGGGGAGCGAACAGG